rnacentral:rRNA from 1 species
GCGAAAUGCGAUACUUGGUGUGAAUUGCAGAAUCCCGUGAACCAUCGAGUCUUUGAACGCAAGUUGCGCCCGAAGCCGUUAGGCCGAGGGCACGUCUGCCUGGGCGUCACG